UACGUAGGGUGCAAGCGUUACUCGGAAUUACUGGGCGUAAAGCGUGCGCAGGCGGCUUUGCAAGUCAGCUGUGAAAUCCCCGGGCUUAACCUGGGAACUGCAUUUGUGACUGCAUGGCUGGAGUGCGGCAGAGGGGGAUGGAAUUCCGCGUGUAGCAGUGAAAUGCGUAGAUAUGCGGAGGAACACCGAUGGCGAAGGCAAUCCCCUGGGCCUGCACUGACGCUCAUGCACGAAAGCGUGGGGAGCAAACAGG
rnacentral:rRNA from 1 species